rnacentral:rRNA from 1 species
GUCGGUAAAACUCGUGCCAGCCACCGCGGUUAUACGAAAGACCCUAGUUUAUAGAUACGGCGUAAAGGGUGGUUAGGGGACAAACAAAAUAAAGCCAAAGACCUCCUAAGCCGUCAUACGCUCACGGAGAUACGAAGCCCAAACACGAAAGUAGCUUUACCAAACAUGCCCGACUCCACGAAAGCUGGGAAACAAACUGGGAUUAGAUACCCCACUAU